rnacentral:sRNA from 1 species
AAAUAAACCUUAUUGUAGCGGCUAUCCUUUUUGCCCCACUAACCCACAAUAUGCUGCUAACCAUCGCAAAAAGAUAGGAGCGGAAAGAAGGACUGCUG